rnacentral:rRNA from 1 species
UGAGGAAUAUUGCGCAAUGGAGGAAACUCUGACGCAGCCAUGCCGCGUGAGUGACGAAGGCCCUAGGGUUGUAAAGCUCUUUCAGAUGCGAAGAUAAUGACGGUAACAUCAGAAGAAGCUCCGGCUAAAUUCGUGCCAGCAGCCGCGGUAAUACGAAUGGAGCGAGCGUUGUUCGGAAUCAUUGGGCGUAAAGCGUAUGUAGGCGGAAAAGAAAGUCAGGAGUGAAAUCCCGGGGCUCAACCCCGGAAUUGCUCUUGAAACUUCUUUUCUAGAGUCCCGGAGAGGUAAGGGGAAUUCCGAGUGUAGAGGUGAAAUUCGCAGAUAUUCGGAGGAACACCAGUGGCGUAGGCGCCUUACUGGACGGGAACUGACGCUCAGAUACGAAAGCGUGGGUAGCAAACAGGAUUAGAUACCCCCGUAGUCC